rnacentral:lncRNA from 13 species
ACCCAGUCAUAAUCAUAUUCUCUCAUGAAUGCACCCAUUCACCCAGUCAUAAUCAUAUUCUCAUGAAUGCACCCAUUCACCCAGUCAUAAUCAUACUCUCUCAUGAAUGCACCCAUUCACCCAGUCAUAAUCAUAUUCUCUCAUGAAUGCACCCAUUCACCCAGUCAUAAUCAUAUUAUCUCAUGAAUGCACCCAUUCACCCAGUCAUAAUCAUACUCUCUCAUGAAUGCACCCAUUCACUCUUGCACUCACAUUCUCUCAAACACACACACACACGCACACUCAGUCAGUCACUCAGGCUAAAUCAGUCACAGACCGCAGGUUUCCAUGGUUAUGUGAGCAAACAGGGAAAAACACUUCCUGUCUAGCUUACACAUGCGCUCGGGCCUCAUCAUGUGUUCAGAGCAUGCCCAGUAAAUGCCACCAUGUGCAGUGAAAGGAAUAUGGUGUAAUCACAGACAGUCUGGUAUUGUCCCAGCAAGAGGAACACUCUUAGCUCUGUGUUUCGGGUGGUAGAUGUGUACCAAUAAACAGCAGAUGUAGUUUUCCAAGUCGGUCCAUUAGACUCUUUACCCCCGAAAUGUACAAAUGACAUCAUGCUAUAGAGACCAGUGAUUAUUCACUGUUAAGAGUUCAUAUACAUUUCUCAUUACUUUUAACCACAUUUUCAUGACUAUUAUUAUAGCCUAAAUGCAAAAAAAUAUGCAUUAUUGAGACUGGAAGGCUACUGUGUCUGAUCCCAUGUAGGCCUGAUAUCUCCUGGUGUGCCCUUGCUCAAGGCACUGAACCCCCCCCCCCACACACACACACACACAAAGUAGAAGUGCACUGUUAGUCACAUGUUGUCAACCCUCCAUCUAGAGAGCUUCUGGGUGUGCAGGCUUGGCCUUUUGAUUCAGCCCUGAAACACACAAGUCUGCCUAUCAAGGUCCUGUUGAGGAGCUGAUGUUUAGGCUACAAUGAGGCCUUCACGCCCAGUAGCUGUCCUGGAGAAUGGUUGGCCGCCCUUGAUAUCAAAUAUACCAACAUUACAACCAAAUACUUUUGUCUUUAUAUAAUUAUUCCCCCAUUCAAUAAAUCAGGGAUCAAAUGGAUAAUGUAGGCUACUGUAAAGCAAGGCACCUAACUAUAUAUGUUUAUAUAUAAGGCUCAAAUAGUCAUGUUUCAGGGGAGAUCUAUGCACACAAGCCAUAAUUGGCCAUUAUUUUAAUAUUUUAACGUUGUCGCAAUUACAUGGCUACAGUUUAAUAGAGGGGACACUAUACAGCCUUCUAACGGUGAAGAUUUAUUUAGGCUCUACAGUGCCGGUGGAAACGCGACAACGAUAUUAAUGCUUAGUUAGCUAUAGUUAAGUAGCGAGAUAACUGCUGUAAGUUAUGUUUUGAAUUGGCCAUCUAGUUAGUCAUUUUAUCUGUCAUUGUUUCAAACCUGCUGCUGAAAUGUUGCUGCUCUCUCAUCUGGGAACGUCACACACGCAGCACACAGACACGCAAUGACACGUAUGGCUGAUAUGUAUAUUUUUCAGUGAUUUAUAAUAUUUAAAAGUGUGCCUUCAUGAAUUAUAUUACCAAAACGUAUUAAAACUAAUUUCCAUGACUUUACAAACCCUAAUUUGACAAUUUGGAACUCAUUAAAACUGGUGCAUUUUCAAUCUUCGCAAUCUCGAACAGUUUAGGGUCACGCACAGAUUCACAGACUAGCGGUAAAUAAACUUGAACAAAACAGAAUCAGGAAAUGAAUGCCCACUCUCAAUUGCUAUUCAACGCAGAUCCAGCCCUUAUUCCGCUUUGAUCAACCGUUUAUGCGUGUCAAACUGGGCCGGCGAUAGGCUACUUUGUUUUAAUAGAGGAGCCAGUACGCAAUUCCCCUCAAAAUUAGUGCCGGGAUGGCGCUCCGGACAGUUCCGGCCCAAAUCAAGCACUGCACGUCAUCAGUUUCACUCCAAACAUGAAUAGCACUGUGUAUGUAACAGCAUGUGUUAGUCUCAGACAGGUUUUUACAUAUGACUCAAUAGCGUGAUGUAUAAUUGUUAUUCGUGAAUAUACAGUUGAAGUCGGAAGUUUACAUACACCUUAGCCAAAUACAUUUAAACUGUUUUUCACAAUUCCUGACAUUUAAUCCGAGUAAAAAAUCCCUGUUUUAGGUCAGUUAUAUUCACCACUUUAUUUUAAGAAUGUGAAAAGUCAGAAUAAUAGUAGAGAGAAUUAUUUAUUUCAGCUUUUAUUUCUUUCAUCACAUUCCCAGUGGGUCAGAAGUUUACAUACACUCAAUUAGAAUUUGGUGGCAUUGCCUUUAAAUUGUUUAACUUGGGUCAAAUGUUUCGGGGAGCCUUCCACAAGCUUCCCACAAUAAGUUGGGUGAAUUUUGUCCCAUUCCUCCUGACAGAGCUGGUGUAACUGAGUCAGGUUUGUAGGCCUCCUUGCUCAGUUCUGCCCACAAAUUGUCUAUGGGAUUGAGGUCAGGGCUUUGUGAUGGCCACUCCAAUACCUUGACUUUGUUGUCCUUAAGCCAUUUUGCCACAACUUUGGAAGUAUGCUUGGGGUCAUUGUCCAUUUGGAAGACCCAUUUGCGACCAAGCUUUAAC